rnacentral:misc_RNA from 1 species
GAUGAAGAACGUAGCGAAAUGCGAUAAGUAAUGUGAAUUGCAGAAUUCAGUGAAUCAUCGAAUCUUUGAACGCACAUUGCGCCCGCUAGUAUUCUGGCGGGCAUGCCUGUUCGAGCGUCAUUUCAACCAUCAAGCCCCAGGCUUGUGUUGGGGGCCUGCGGCUACCGCAGCCCCUGAAAAGCAGUGGCGGGCUCGCUGUCAUUCCGAGCGCAGUAGUUACAUCUCGCUCCGGGCGUGGCGGUGGGCACCUGCCGUGAAACACUCCUUCUAAGGUUGACCUCGGAUCAGGUAGGAAUACCCGCUGAACUUAAGCAUAUCAAUAAGCGAGGA